CUACCAUGCAAGUCGAACGGAUCCUUCGGGAUUAGUGGCGGACGGGUGAGUAACACGUGGGAACGUGCCCUUUGGUUCGGAACAACUCAGGGAAACUUGAGCUAAUACCGGAUGUGCCCUUCGGGGGAAAGAUUUAUCGCCAUUGGAGCGGCCCGCGUAGGAUUAGCUAGUUGGUGAGGUAAAGGCUCACCAAGGCUACGAUCCUUAGCUGGUCUGAGAGGAUGAUCAGCCACAUUGGGACUGAGACACGGCCCAAACUCCUACGGGAGGCAGCAGUGGGGAAUCUUGCGCAAUGGGCGAAAGCCUGACGCAGCCAUGCCGCGUGAAUGAUGAAGGUCUUAGGAUUGUAAAAUUCUUUCACCGGGGACGAUAAUGACGGUACCCGGAGAAGAAGCCCCGGCUAACUUCGUGCCAGCAGCCGCGGUAAUACGAAGGGGGCUAGCGUUGCUCGGAAUUACUGGGCGUAAAGGGAGCGUAGGCGGAUAGUUUAGUCAGAGGUGAAAGCCCAGGGCUCAACCUUGGAAUUGCCUUUGAUACUGGCUAUCUUGAGUACGGAAGAGGUAUGUGGAACUCCGAGUGUAGAGGUGAAAUUCGUAGAUAUUCGGAAGAACACCAGUGGCGAAGGCGACAUACUGGUCCGUUACUGACGCUGAGGCUCGAAAGCGUGGGGAGCAAACAGGAUUAGAUACCCUGGUAGUCCACGCUGUAAACGAUGAGUGCUAGUUGUCGGCAGGCAUGCCUGUCGGUGACGCAGCUAACGCAUUAAGCACUCCGCCUGGGGAGUACGGUCGCAAGAUUAAAACUCAAAGGAAUUGACGGGGGCCCGCACAAGCGGUGGAGCAUGUGGUUUAUUCGAAGCAACGCGCAGAACCUUACCACCUUUUGACAUGCCCGGACCGCCUCAGAGAUGAGCUUUUCCCUUCGGGGACUGGGACACAGGUGCUGCAUGGCUGUCGUCAGCUCGUGUCUGAGAUGUUGGGUUAAGUCCCG
rnacentral:rRNA from 1 species